rnacentral:rRNA from 1 species
GGGGGUAACCCUGACGCAGCAACGCCGCGUGAGUGAUGAAGGCCUUCGGGUCGUAAAGCUCUGUCAGAGGGAAAGAAAUGUGGGACGCUUAAUACCGCUUCAACUUGACGGUACCCUCUAAG